CUUACCAGGGGCCGCCACCUCUGUCGGAGUGAGGAGGCACGAGGGCCUCAGCAGGCUUCAGCCGGGUCUGCACCCCGAAUGCAGCAUUUGGGAUAUUUGCAGUGAAUACAGAAGGAUCCAUCCCCCAUUCCUGUGAGUUCACGGGCAGACAUCCCCAUGCCUGGUCCCCGUCGCCCCACCGUUGAAGGACGUGCCCUGCUACAGAAGUCCUGCUGGGAAAACCCACUUCAAAUGCUUGAAACCUGGAGUCCCUGGGCACAGAGGUGACCAGGCUCCAUGACCCCUGAGCCAAGAUCCCUCUGCUCUGCGUGGAUUGGGACAAGCAGGAAAUGUCAUUAGGCC
rnacentral:lncRNA from 1 species